AUUGAACGCUGGCGGCAUGCCUAACACAUGCAAGUCGAGCGGACGAAGGGGGCUUUCGCCUGGAUUCAGCGGCGGACGGGCGAGUAAUGCCUAGGAGUCUGCCUGGUAUUUGGGGAUAACGUCCGGUAAGGGGCGCUAAUACCGCAUACGUUAUGAUGGAGAAAGUGGUGGAUCUUUGGUCCACACGCGAUUUGAUGAGCCUAGGUCGUAUUAGCUAGUUGGUGUGGUAAAGGCCUACCAAGGCGACGAUCCGUAACUGGUCUGAGAGGAUGAUCAGUCACACUGGAACUGAGACACGGUCCAGACUCCUACGGGAGGCAGCAGUGGGGAAUAUUGGACAAUGGGCGAAAGCCUGAUCGAGCCAUGCCGCGUGUGUGAAGAAGGUCUUCGGAUUGUAAAGCACUUUAAGUUGGGAGGAAGGGCAGUAAGUUAAUACCUUGCUGUUUUGACGUUACCAAAAGAAAAAGCCCCGGCUAACUUCGUG
rnacentral:rRNA from 1 species